AUACGGAGGGUGCGAGCGUUAAUCGGAAUUACUGGGCGUAAAGCGCACGCAGGCGGUUUGUUAAGCUAGAUGUGAAAGCCCCGGGCUCAACCUGGGAUGGUCAUUUAGAACUGGCAGACUAGAGUCUUGGAGAGGGGAGUGGAAUUCCAGGUGUAGCGGUGAAAUGCGUAGAUAUCAGGAAGAACACCGGUGGCGAAGGCGGGUCUCUGGGCAACUACUGACGCUGAGGAGCGAAAGCGUGGGGAGCAAACAGGAUUAGAUACCCUGGUAGUCCACGCCGUAAACGGUGGGCGCUAGGUGUGGGGAACAUUCCACGUUCUCCGUGCCGCAGCUAACGCAUUAAGCGCCCCGCCUGGGGAGUACGGCCGCAAGGCUAAAACUCAAAGGAAUUGACGGGGCCCGCACAAGCGGUGGAGUAUGUGGUUUAAUUCGAAGCAACGCGCAGAACCUUACCAACCCUUGACAUCCUAGGACAACUCCAGAGAUGGAGCCUUCCUUCGGGACCUAGUGACAGGUGCUGCAU
rnacentral:rRNA from 1 species